rnacentral:lncRNA from 1 species
UCCAUCUGUUUUUGUUUUCUGUACCACAUUUCCUUCUCUAUAUUUUUUGCCCUGGGCUUUGAGAUACUGCUUCAACUUGAGCUUUUGGGGAACUAAUUAGUGUUUCAACAAUAUUUGCCUGCCCAAUUAGCUGGAGGCUCCUUGAUGGCAGAGACUGCCUCCUUGGUAUCCCCAGCACACAGCACAGAACCUGGCACAUACUGUUGCCUCCACGUACCUGAAAUGCCAGUGCUCCAGCUGUCUUGAUUGAGAGGCCUAGUUUGCAAGAAAACAAGACAAAAUACUUUGCUGCCUUAAUUCCAGUGGGAAUUUAAUUUAAUUAGCAUCUGAUUUACACAAUGCACUUCUGACAGCUGUGUUUGUGGAGUCUCUGUGGAAGCAAGAAAUUACCAUCCAUUGAAAUCAUCAUCAAAGCUUAUUUAUCAUCCUGCCAUGUCUUUCCAGCCUUCAGCCUUGGGAACUUCUGUGUGUUUAUUGCACAUUCAUGAAGGUUACAGUAAAUAAUACUCAACAACCCCGAGAGCACAUCACAGUAUGGAGAAAACAUAAGAUCAAAGAAGCAUGCAACACUGAGCUAUCACACGGAGAACACCUGUCUG